AAUGAACGUUGGCGGCGUGGAUUAGGCAUGCAAGUCGUACGAGAAUCGUAGCAAUACGAGGAAAGUGGCGGAAGGGAGAGGAUUACGUGGGAAUUUACCCUCAGAACUGGGAUAGCGGCGGGAAACUGCCGGUAAUACCAGAUAAUGUCUUCGGACCAAAGGUGUGAUUCCGUCUGGGGAUGAGCCCACGUCCUAUUAGCUAGUUGGUAGGGUAAUGGCCUACCAAGGCAAUGAUGGGUGGCGGGUGUGAGAGCAUGACCCGCCUCACUGGGACUGAGAACUGCCCAGACACCUACGGGUGGCUGCAGUCGAGAAUCUUCGGCAAUGAGCGCAAGCUUGACCGAGCGACGCCGCGUGCGGGAUGAAGGCCUUCGGGUUGUAAACCGCUGUCGUAGGGGAGCAAGGGAUGAAGGUACUCCUUCAAAUUUGAGCGAUCCUAGGAGGAAGGACGGGCUAAGUUCGUGCCAGCAGCCGCCGUAAAAC
rnacentral:rRNA from 1 species